GCCGUUUUUUAAGCCGGUCCGAAAAGCGCAAUAUUCGGGUGGGAGUGACCCGAUUUUCCAGUGAGAUGAACCCGGUACCUCAGAUGGAAAUGCAGAAAUCACCCGUCUUCUGCGUCGCUCACGCCGGGAGCUGUAGACCGGAGCUGUUCCUAUUCGGCCAUCUUGGCUCCUCCCCCAGGAAUGCUUAUUUUUACACUCAGCACUUUUCCCAUUGACAUAUCGGUAAGAGUUAGCUUUUGUUGAAAUGUAACAGCCAAAAACCUAAGGCCUGUUCCUCUCUGCUUUUACUUCGUUUCUUUGUUCUAUUUUCUUCAUGUGUUCAACUGGCAGCUCCUUUGAAGGCUGACGUAGGGGACUGUGUCUUAUCCUUCUUUGUAUUGCAGUGUUUUCUACUCAUAGGUGCUCUAUAAGUACUUGUUAAAUUAGUUAAAUGAAGAAAUAGCAAUGUCUUUUAUAUGGCUACUGUUUUAAACAUUUAAAUUAAAUGUUGUAAAUGUUACCUGGGAGGAGAAGAAAGAAAAAGAAUUAUGAUGGAGGUUGCAAAUGCAAACAUUUAGAGUCAGAAUGAAAUGGAGUGAGAAAAGCCAGGAAGAACUGGGGCAGAACAGAGAGCAAUGCCCAGUCAAUGGGGGCAACUUAAUUCACUCAGCUCCAGCUUGUGAGGCAGGAGAAUUCUGAGAGCGGGGAGAGAGUGUGGGUGUGUGGAGCUAGGACAAGGGACUGGAGCUGGUGAAACAGCAUUUGUUCCUAUGAAUUAACAUAUUGAGAUUGUAACCAUUUAAAACAACCACAAAUUUUCCUUUAUAUCAGUUGUCCUGGGAGAGAAGAAGAGGGAGGGAUAGAGAUAUGGCAUAUUCUGCAGGUAGAAAUGGGUGCAUUUACCGUCAGUGCUUCCUCUAGGUCUUGUUAGUUGAUUUGAGUGAAAAGAUGCAGAAAAACUUUUUUCUAUUACUAGGAACUUUUAUCUGGAAAGGACUGGUAACAAAUAA
ensembl:lncRNA novel transcript, antisense to RFTN2